UGCUAUACUGCAGUCGAACGCUUCUUUCCUCCCGAGUGCUUGCACUCAAUUGGAAAGAGGAGUGGCGGACGGGUGAGUAACACGUGGGUAACCUACCCAUCAGAGGGGGAUAACACUUGGAAACAGGUGCUAAUACCGCAUAACAGUUUAUGCCGCAUGGCAUAAGAGUGAAAGGCGCUUUCGGGUGUCGCUGAUGGAUGGACCCGCGGUGCAUUAGCUAGUUGGUGAGGUAACGGCUCACCAAGGCCACGAUGCAUAGCCGACCUGAGAGGGUGAUCGGCCACACUGGGACUGAGACACGGCCCAGACUCCUACGGGAGGCAGCAGUAGGGAAUCUUCGGCAAUGGACGAAAGUCUGACCGAGCAACGCCGCGUGAGUGAAGAAGGUUUUCGGAUCGUAAAACUCUGUUGUUAGAGAAGAACAAGGACGUUAGUAACUGAACGUCCCCUGACGGUAUCUAACCAGAAAGCCACGGCUAACUACGUGCCAGCAGCCGCGGUAAUACGUAGGUGGCAAGCGUUGUCCGGAUUUAUUGGGCGUAAAGCGAGCGCAGGCGGUUUCUUAAGUCUGAUGUGAAAGCCCCCGGCUCAACCGGGGAGGGUCAUUGGAAACUGGGAGACUUGAGUGCAGAAGAGGAGAGUGGAAUUCCAUGUGUAGCGGUGAAAUGCGUAGAUAUAUGGAGGAACACCAGUGGCGAAGGCGGCUCUCUGGUCUGUAACUGACGCUGAGGCUCGAAAGCGUGGGGAGCAAACAGGAUUAGAUACCCUGGUAGUCCACGCCGUAAACGAUGAGUGCUAAGUGUUGGAGGGUUUCCGCCCUUCAGUGCUGCAGCAAACGCAUUAAGCACUCCGCCUGGGGAGUACGACCGCAAGGUUGAAACUCAAAGGAAUUGACGGGGGCCCGCAC
rnacentral:rRNA from 1 species